ACCAAGUGAUACCCGGUAUCUACCUGAGCUAGAAUUCAAGUAGUUGGUGUCUUCAGAGAGACUUGUAUUCUAGCUCAGGUAGAUAUUGAAUGAAAAA
ensembl:miRNA